GCAGAGGUCGCCUAGCCCGGUAGGGCGCGGGCCUUGAGAGCCUGUGUGCCUAGCACGCGGGGGUUCAAAUCCCCCUCUCUGCG
rnacentral:tRNA from 4 species